AAGAAAAAAUGACAAUCGGCUCCGUCGCUCGAGCGGAUAAUUUAAAGUCAAGUGCACGCACCGCGUGUGUCUGUCCUCUCCCUGCAGUUAAUUUGUCGCGGGAUCGUCGCGUCGUCCCGGCGCAUCGCCUUUGAAACGUCGCUCGUGCGACUGGUGCACGGCCCGUGUGUGACUCGUGUGUAAGGCUCGCGGCUCUUUUUCCCAUGUACCCGCGACUUUGUCUGAGCGCCCGCAGGCCGCGAGCCGUGCGUCUCCACGGCCUGCGGGCGUGGGCAUUAACGCGUCUAGGCUGACCGUGCUGAAAACAUAAGCGCGUCUCCCCGACGACCGCGGCGAUUCGCUUUAUCGUGCCAUUGUACUUUUCCUCUUGGCCCGCGUGAUUUCACUUGCCGCCGGACGAUAUCGCCAAUUGUUUAAACAACGCGCCGCUUUCGAAGAAGCGCCGAACAGACCCCUUUUGCGCGGCGAUUCGCACACGUGAUCGAUAACGACCGCUCGCGUUCGCGAUUUCAUAGGACCCGUCGAUUCCAUGCUUCGCGCGCGAAUCGUCGCGCGAAAGAGAGGCCUCUUCUCGACGCAGAAGGGAAAGUAAUUUCGAAGAUGGUUAUUCCAAUAACAAAAAAUACUGUCGCUGCUGAACGGCGAGAGACAGCAGCGCACGAGAGACAUUUUUCUCCGCUAGCGUAAGCUCUCCUGCGCGUUCGGGGAGCGGCAUGUUAAUUCACUCGCGUCCGAAGGCCUUGAGCGUCUAUAAUUAACGGCGCGCAAAAAUCAGCGAAAUUCUCGGCGUGUCACGCAUUGUUUCUUCGGCCGAGGAGAGGAUUCGUUCGCGCGAACCCAAGAUCUUCGACGAGCGGGCAUUCCGCGAGCGGUCGACGCGAGUCAGCUCCUCUCCUCGAAGGACGACCGAUGUUUUCGCGACAGGUAGAAGGAAACUCGGUCCCGAAGGGUACGGGAGAAGGGAAACGUAGAAAGUAUGCGCGCAGGGGGAGAGGUUCGGACCCUGGCUAGCCGUUCCCAGAGCCGAAAGUUCCCCGCUGCGACGUCUGGGCCGAUAAUUUUUAUUAUUCCUCGCCCACGGAGCGUCGUCCUUACGCACGGCCUCUUCCACGAAUCGGCUGACCGCGUUUCCACCUACGGUUGUCCCUCUUAAAUGCUCGCCAAUUAAGGGAGGACGUGCUAGGAAAUCGGUGCUUUCAUCGGUCGCCGAUCACACACUCCGCUUUGUCUUCUUCUUUGUCUCUUUCGAUCGACUCGGACGCGUCGACUCGUGUUACGACACGGUCAAUACCGAGAAGAAAAAUCUAAACACGGCGCGGAGCCGCCGCGCCGGGUUCCUCGUCGUCUUCGUUGGAACGAACGAUCGCCGCAGAGAGACAAAGCCGCCGAUUCCACCGAGUAUUCACGGCCACGACGCGACGCUAAUUAUUCCUGUAAAAGUUUAAGCGACUGCGGCGCGGCGACGGUGGUUAUUACGCCGACUGCGGGGCAAUUAGCCCGGCUCCUGUGCUCGAGUGCAACGUGAAACGAUCGUCACGGUGUUCGCUCUUCGGAACGACCCUGACAAAGUCCGACCAGCCGGCCAGACAACCGCGAGACGGCCGGCAAGCGUUUCGCGAAUGCUCGAGAGCCGUUUCGUGCGUGUUUGUGGCUGACGCGUGACGGGGACUGAGCGGCGGAGCUGUGGGAUCGCCGCGCUCGAGGCGAGCAACGUCGAGGACUCUCGUCGCCUCUUCUAGGAAUCACGGGAAAAGAACAAGGAUGCCCGGUCGACGACGGUUUUCUCAAUCGAACCGCGAUGGAGCAUGCUUCCAUGCCGAUGUACCACCUUAGGACCUGGGACCUAGGAUCUAGACGAUAUCUAUAAAUAGGACGCGUUCCAGGCAUCGCAGGAUUUCCGUAGAAAUCGCGACGGAGCCUCGCGUCCCGCGAAGUUCCUUUUCAUGACCGAGCGUCACCGCAACGAGAAAGUCUCCGGAUCGAGGGAUCGGGACCGGCCGCAAAAACAGAAGCCACGAAAUUGCUCGGUAGUUUAAAUGUCAGCGAUGAACGAGCAGCCGGUACGAGAGGCUGCGGUGGCGUCCGUGUUCCGGAGAAAAAGAGAUUAACAGGGCCGGAGAACAAAACGUAAGAUCGUUGAAAGAACCGUAGGACGAGAAGACGAGAAGAGAAAAGGAGAAAAGAGAGAGAGAGAGAGAGAGAGAGAGAGAGAAAGAGGUGCAGAGGAGAGAAGAGAGCAGAGGAGAGGAGAGGAGAAGGGUCCGCGGCAGCGGGAGGGGAAGGAGAAGAUUGGCAAUGCAGUGAUACGCAGCGCGGCAGCAGUGGCGCCGAAAAUGCAAUGCGGUGCGCCGGGACGACGGUGUCGGCGUCGGGCGUGGCGGAUAACUGACCUCGACUCGUCUAGCUCGGCCGCCCCUGACGCCUCUUGGCAGACCUUCCUCUGUCCCUCCGAUGCAGCACCGUGCCUUUAUGCCAGUGAUCCCCCACUGGAACAACGCCGACGCCGACGCCGACGCCGACGCCGACUCGACCGCCGCGUUCAUCGUCGUCCGCAACUUCUCUGCUCUAGCCGAUCGUGCUACCCUUCUUCACCCACCGAGCUUUCGUUCUCGUCCUACGAUCAAAUGGUCUGGGUUGCCCCUCCAACGCCGACCUUACUCCCUCUACACUUGCCUUAUACACCGGGUCUUCUCUCCCCCCUUCCUCCGUCUUUCUUGCUCUAAUAGCGUCAUCUCUCUCUUUCUCUCUCUCUCUCACUCGCUCUCUUCAAUCGUCUACUCUUCUGGCCUCGUCUGGUCUGUUAGCUCGGUCUAGUCUCGACUCGACUCGACUCGGCUCGUCUCGUCUCGUCUCGUCUCGUCUCGUCUCGUAGCGGCCUUCCGCGCCCCUGGCAGAUCGGCAGACAGCAGUCUGACUGUCUGGUUGCCCGGCAACGCGCCGCUGCCCGUCGCCGUCGAUGAGAGAGGGUGAAUUCAGCGAUAGUUACGCGCUGCAUCCUGCACGAGCAAAUGCCCGCAUCAGGCUACAUCGUGCACCCUUGGAGGAGAUGACACGGUGAGACAGGCGAGCGCAACGGUGACGCACAAGGGUCCCCGGUAUAUUUCGAAAAUUAUUAUUCGCUAUGGUCGCGGUAGUCUCUCGGGCCCCAGAGCGUUCUUUCGGAUACUUUGAAGCACGCGAGUCGGGACUGACGCGGUCGAAGGAUUGGAGAGGAGACAUGCGGGCCCAUUAGCCAGGGGCAGGUGGAACCGUCUUUACGGAUGGCCCACUUUUCUUUCUGCCGAACGAUAAUUAGCAAUUACGCUAGCUUCCUCUGUAACGGCGGCGAUAGGGGUAGAUAUACGCGGCCCCUAAUUGGUCCCCGCGCAGAGGCCCCCUCUAAAAAAACAAGCGCGCUCGUUAGACGUUUCCAUCGAACGCUAUACGGCGACACGUCGGCCCCGCGUCGGUGUCGGCGUCUGCGUCAGCAACAGAGGCUGGUGUGGGUGCUAAAGGUUAAAGUCAUAUAUGCAGCCGAGAGAAUUUCGAGACGCGCCAGUAGCAUAGAAAAUCUGCGCGGGGUUAAAUUUAGGUGGCUUCGUUACCUGGAAUACGCGUAGCCGACCACGCUAAGUUCACGCUUUGCGACAUCGAUCGACCGUCCACUUGCAAAAAAAGAAAAAAUAAGAAAAGACGUUCGAUGCGAGAAGCGAGCCGACGAAUGGCAAGACCCGGAGCUUAUUGUCGGCGAAGGAUACGAGCGGAUAGAGCAAGUUAACGGUACAAGUCGAACCUAUUACCCGGGCACAAUGGCAAGGUGCGAGCAAAAAGGUAGCGGCGCGUUUCGAAUGCGAGAAAUUCCGGGAACCUUAAUUGUAAGGAACGUGUACAGUUAGGACGAUGUCGACCGCCGCAAAACAGCUUGCGCCCGACGCUUUCGUGUUUUUGGUUGUUCCCCUCGGCUCUGGUCGCGCGAGGAGGAAUCGUCCCGCCAGCGAGGUGCAAUGGCCCCUGAAUGAACGCUACCGUUGCCACACCGCGGUAGCGAUCGCGUGAAAAUUGCGAACGCUAAUUGCCGCAAGACCGGGCUCGGCCCGAUCGACGCCGCCAUCGAUGUAUGCAUGUGUGUGUACAUAGAACGCGGUGCGCCACGGCGUCGGUUAAUAAUACGAAAGUUAUUAAUGGUUCGAGUCAAUGAUCGGCCGAUGUGAGAUCAUUCUAUCGGCAGUCAGUACAACACGUGGGUGUAUUAAACGGCAGGCGAUAGCCGUCUAUCGCGGGAACCGAGUGAAAUAACAGCGCCGCGGACUACGCUACUGCGACGCGAUCGAUGCGUUUGAUGCAUCGACUCUUUCGGAAAAAAUGCAUAGCGAGCGUACGGUGCAUCGGUAAGUCGGCACACCGUGUCUGAGGAGCGUCAAUAUUUAGAAGAAGCCGGCAUUGUACACCGGGAUCGGCCGCGGAACGAAAAUAACGUCGACCGGCUCGCGUUUACACGGCUACGCGUUACAACAACAUUCCUUUGUUAGAAACCAAUUCCUUGGCCAAUAAGGUUCGACUAUGUGUGACUCAUAACGCAACUGUUCAGUGACUCAGAGCCCGGAGAUUGUUAGCAAUGUCCCGAGAAGACGUGGCAUCGGAACCUGAAUCAUGAGAAUAUCGCUAUGACCGUCGGAUACCGAUAUAAGUAUAUAUGUACCUGUUCCCCGACGCUCGACCAGAAACUCUUUACAGAAACUGUGUUACUAAAAUACUAAAAUAACACCGACAUAAAAUACUAGAGAAAAAAGUAAUAAAUAAUAGAAUUGCUUUCCACGCUAGAAUCUGCUGGAAAAAACGACGGUUCCCCAUAAUUAUCGGUGAUCUGUUCGUAGCUAACCGAUGGAAAGGAAACGAUCAUGAGCCUGCAAUUAGGAACUGGACGAAAUGUUUGGGCGUGGAGUAAGACGCGUCGAAAUUUAAUGAUAUUAAAAUAUUGCAAUUUAUUCGGAAUAAUAAUCGUGCUCACGCAGCACGGAAACACGAUUAAGAUUAAAAACUAAAAAUCCGGCACCUGCUGCCGUUCUCAACGACCCAAAUAUUUCCGGAUUCACCUUGUACCCGAAUGUUCCGUACGGUUGAGCCGCUUAACGAUUCACCCGUACAUCUGUUCGUGAAAAGAUCUUUUGUGUUUUCUUUUUCGUAGGUACAGUCGGUUUCCUGUAAGAAAGGCCCUUUAUCACACGAAACGAUCAAUGACGGUCGUAAACCGACCGUUAGGCCUUUGUCGCGUCAUUUCAUACCUGCAGUGUACGUGCACCGAGAAUUAUGCUAGCGCGCUGGGCUCGUUUAGGUUCCUACCGAGCUUCGAAACACGUUAGAAAAUAGAAUGUACUUGGUCGAGAAAUAAGUGCCUGCCGAGUCUGAUACCAACGUAUGCGAGGACGUAUCGUGUAAUUAUAUACUAUUGAUUGCAUACUCAGAGAUUUUUUCGCUUCGUGGUUUCAGUAAAAAAUAUCGUUUUAUUUGAAAUACGUAAAUUUGUCGUUAUAAAGCAAAACAUUAGCGUAAAUGCUAAAAUUAAUGCUACUCGUCGAAAUAUUCGUACAGUUUAAUCAUUCUCAACCUUCCUUACAAUUAAAAACCUUACCAAUCGUAAUGCUUAUUCUCGUUAAUACAUUAUCUGUACACAAAACGCACUGUCAAACAUUACACGCUCUCUCAUACGUAUACUAUUUGUACAAUAAAAGUUCGCUAUCAUGUAAA